CUAAUUGUCAGUCAUCUUUGAUAGUGGCCCUGACGGUGUGUGUAUUCUCUCUCUAUCUAUAUAUUUAUAUAUUCUCUGUAUAUUUCUAUAUUUAUUUUUACCAAUCCAAAGCCCAAAGUAUUAAACUUUGCUCCAUAAAUCUAUAUGCCGCUGUUUUGCUUUUUUGUGUGUGUGAAUGACACUUUAAAGACCUCAAGCUUGUUUGAGGUUUGAUGUGCUAUUACUGUAUUUCUCAUCAGUGAUCAGACUUUUGCAAGGCAUUCAUUUUACUAAUGCAAAAAAAUUUUUUUUAACAUUAUACUUGCAUUUAAAUAUGGGGAUGCAGGUCACAUCUAGAGAUCUGAAUAUCUCAGAUACUUGAGGGUGGACUCUUUGGGUGGACUCUUGGGUCAGUAAACAACCACCGGGAACACCCUAGCAACCACACAUCACUGCAAUCAAAACACUACUCACAACCACAUAGCAACGCCCUAACUACCUCCCACAACACACGCGCAUCUUGCCUGUGAGUCGUGCUCAUCCAAACACCACCCACGAUUUCUUCAGAAAAUCUAAAAACCUUCUUGUUUCAUGUAAUAGUCACUAAUCUAUCUCUCAGAAACCAAAGAGUGCAGUUUGAAACUGCCUGUAGCAUUUGACUCAUCUGAAGGUCAAAAUCACAGCCUCAUUUAUUCACAGUCACAUGAUCUUAUGAAAAAACCACAACUGCAUUUUUUGAAAAAUCUGUUUGCGUCAUGGACUGAGAGUCUGUGUGUCUUGCUUUCUAUUAAACCAAUAUACAGUACACUGAUAAAAUGGCACUGGUUUUCAUUCAAAAAUAUUAUUUAACAUCACUGAACCAGCGUACAUUAAUUUUAAUGAUUAAUUCCAGGUUACAGUGUACAUUUACUUUGCAAGCAAAAUGACUUAUAUAAGAUAUUAAGCCUUGUUUUCUGAAAAAUGUAUCAUUAUUAAACGUUUAAAUAAUGUUCUGGCAAGGUUCUCUGAAAGUUUUAGUUAACAGAAUGUUUAUUCAAAGUUAUCUGGUUUUUAAUAUUCUCAUAGCCCAUGGAAUAUUUUUCUGAAACAUUUUUUCACAUGUUACUUCGUACUACUUUCAAAUAGUUCAGAGAACAUUCAAAAGGAACAUUCUCAUAAUGCUGGCAAAACGGAACAUUCCCCUUCAUUUUAAAAAUUUAAAUAUUUUGAAUGUUCCGAGAACAUAUACUGGAGAAAUAACAUUUUCCUUCCCAAGUGAAUGUAUCUUGAUGUAAGAAUGUUUAGCUGUUUGUAAUGGAAAACAAGUCAAAAAUACGCCACUGUACUUGAGAUCCAGCUGAACUGAAGAUCUGCUCUAGUUGGAGAUCACUGAACUGAUUCUGCAUUCUUGUCAUGGGUUGGUUUCUGUCGGUUUACUUUAAUGCAAUCUCUCUCUCCCACACACUCUCUCUGAUGUCUGUCAGGGGUCAGUAUGUGUCUCCUCUGAGCUCUGGCCCCUCACUGCCCUCCCAUGCAGUGCUGUGGGAACUUGACCAGUCAUCUGCGCAGUUAUGAGAGGCAUGUGGUGGAGAGGAAGCAGUGGUUUGUGAGUCAGCGCCUCAUGAAUCGUUCCGUUCCGUUGGCCUUUGGCUCUCUUUAGCUCUUUGAGUCAUCUAGAUCCCUGUGGUCCUGUGAGAUGGGUGUGUGUGUGGGGGGGAGGAAAACUUGCGUUCCUCUGUUUCUGGUCCAUUCCGUUGUAUUGUUCAGUGCUGUGAGUGCUGUCAAGAGAAGCAGUGAAUGGUAAGUCAAUAUCUAAUCAAUACUUACAGAAUGGCAUCAGGCUGGAUGGCCUUGUGACAAGCAGCUGCGAAGGAAUGUUUCUAAUUGAGAUGUGUUUACCUUCUAUUUGGUCUUCUCUUCUGAUUUGCUGAGUUUAAAAAACAGAGUGAUAUCGCAUCAUAGUUGUGUAACCGAAAUCAAGAUAUUUCACUGUGAUAGUAGCACAGGGUUGGCACUUUACCAAACCUUAAACACAUUUGCAAAGCGUUUGUUGUAAAAUGUGCCUCAAGGUCUGUGGCGCAUUGACAUAUUACGUCAGUACAUCAGUAAUGCUUUGAUAUUGGCCCUGUGCGUCAGUUCGCUAAUUUAAGCCGAUGAAUCUGUUUGUGCUAUGAUUGUGGUGAUUCAUUACCAAGACUACAGUCUGUAUGGUGCAGACGUACUGGAAGCUUUUCAUAUUGUUCAACUCAGAUGGCAGACAGCCAUCAGACCUUCUGUUUAUUUGUCUUGAAUAAUGCAAAGUUUUGUUUCAUGUUCUUGGUGCGCAGAUCCUGUAAAUGGACUGUGUAUUUGAAGCUAUAAACAAUAGAUCUUCUAGUAUGUCAUUUAUUUACUGCUGUACGUCUAUGCAGUAUGUUGGGCAGCAAAUUUAACCCUUUGGUGCAUUUUUUCUUACUUUAAAUAUAGAAUAUAUUCAUUUCUCUUUUUUUUUCUCAAAAUUAUGCAUUUUGUGAGUGUUACUGUACAGUACAAUUAAAGAUACUAAUGGAAAUUUUAGCUAACUAAAACCUUAAAAAUAUUUUUGUUGCUUGAAAUAAAAUAAAAUAUAUAUAAAAAAACAAAAAAUAAAAUAAAACUAUAUAGACACAUUAAAAAAAUUUUUUUUAUAAAAAACAAAAACACAAAAAUAUUGAAACUUUAACUAAUUAAAGUGAAAUAAGAAAAUAUUAAAAUUAAUUUUAAUUUUAAUUCAAAAUAUUAACAAAAAUUAUAAUAGUAUAUCAGUGUUACUAAACACCAGAUGUAUAGCAUCACCUUAGCCAUGUAUGUUGUCAUGAUAAAAGUGGUGAUGUACAUCUGGAAUACACACACACACAUACACACACACACACACACACACACAUACACAUUCAUAUAAAACAACAAAUAAAGAGGAAAAAACUUACAGAAUUAGAAAGUAAUCUAUGAACUUUCUACAUUAAUGUGUCAACCAAUGUAAAUGUAUAAUCUUACUAGAUUAACUAGAGUCCUGCUGUUGCACAUUAUAUAAUUUUUUUCAUGAAUUUGUUGUCUCUCUGAUAGAAAAGGAAGUCUAUGUGACCUUCUUCAUUUCACAUGGACCCUUUGGAUUUUUUCCCAGCAUAGUGUGGGAAAACCAGUUCCCUCCUCCGGUCUAUCUUUAGCUGCUUCGCUGUAGGCAGGGCUGUGUUGUCCAUUCAGAGAAAGACUGGCUAACUCCCAAUUCACAUCCUAGCACUCCUAAAUAGCUCACAAGAGUUAAAUUAGUGCAUUUAUAAUCACAGUAAGUACAAACUAGAAAUGCAAAGCCAAAUUGAACAGAUAUGACCCUAAACAUAAAGUAAUAAGACGUUUUAAGAUAAAUACUUGUUAAUAUGCGUGCUACAAGCUACCAUGCAAAUAAAAACAGUACUCGGCAAGAUACUGAAGGAGAGCUUUGUGUUUUGUGUUUGUGUUUUUCACAAAACCGGCAAGUAAGGCAAAAACAAAGUGAAUAAAUAUGCCUAAACAUAAAUUUAAAAUACAUUUUUAGAUACAUAUAAUGUGCUACAUGCAAAUGCUAAGAUAUAAACACAAGUAGUACUCAACAAGUUACGGAAAAGAGCAGUGUGUGAGUAAGCAAUAAGUUACUACGACACAAAUAAGUCAGGCAUGACACAAAGCGUCACUGCAACCCCUUCAGCCAUGAUUUAUUCACAAUACAGCACGCCUUGAGUACCUUAUUGCUUUUAUACAACAGUUUCCACACAAUAAAAAAUAUUAAAAUCAAAAAUGAAUGUACUGAUAUGUUACUUUUUUGAAGCCAGUUCGUUAAAUGCUGUCCUUUUGCUAAAAAAGGAGCGUGGUCUCAAAAUUAAAGAUGAACGAUGCAACAUAACGCCAGCAGGGGUCACUCAUACUCCAUUAAAUAAAUAACAAACAGUUAAUUUUUGCCAAAAUACAUAAUAUAUGGAGCAAUUAUGAUUAUGUUGCUAAGGGUGGUUGCUAAGGGUGUUGCGCGGUGAUACCCAGAACCAUUGGGUGAAGCGGUCAUAGCUGUGCCUUAUCAUGAAUAAAACACAGCAGCUGACCAAUCAGAAUCGAGAACUGGAGAAGACAAAAUGAACAUAUAACCAUAUAAUAAAGCAUAUAAACAAAUAAUACUAUGCUGCAUGCUAAUGCUAACAUUGCAAACUUAAUGGUGGAGCAUGAUGAUAAAAUUGGCAAGGAAUGCAAAGCCAAGGUGAACAAAUAUGAACCAACCCACAAAUAUGAACAAGUAUAAACAGAAAUUAAAAUAAAUAUUGUGCUAAAUGCUAAUACUAACAUACAAAAACAAACAGUAGCCUACUCGACAAGUUACAGAAGCAGUUUGUGAUGCUUUUCAUAAAACUGGCCAGGAAUGCAAAGCAAAAGUAAACAAAUGUGAACCUAAAUGUAAAGUAGUAAUAUGAUUUAACAUAAAUAAUGCACAACAUACUAAUGCUAACAUGCAAACACAAGCUGAAAAGUUACUGAAGAAGAGCUGGUUUUGUGUUGGUUUUGGUAAAACUGGCAAGGAAUGCAAAGCCAAAGUGAACAAAUAUGAACCUAAACGUAAAGUAAAAAUAUAUUUUAAGAUAAAAUAAUGCAGUGCAUGCUAAUGCUAACAUGCAAACAAAAAGGACUGGACAAGUAUGGUAUGAAGAUGCAUAUUUUACACACACAUUCCAAUACUGGCAUAUUAUUUUACAACAUAUUCAAAUCGAUUCAUUGUAAUAUGCUAGAUGUUGUUUCAGCUAAAAAAUUUAGGUUUAAGUUUGUUCACAGAGCAAAUUAAGAAAAUGAACCAAGAGAAAGUCCAAAACGCACCAAACCUUAGCUGAGCUUCUGGCUUUGAUGCCAAAGCACGUUUUGCAGAAGUGUGAGAGGUCUUGUUUUGAUAUUGCCAUGCAGAACAGACUAAAAUAAGCCCUUCAUAGAGGCAUGUACCCCACACUAGUAUACCAUUUACAGUAAGUGGAGAGCGUCAGAACUGAUAGCGUAAACCACUGGCUCCAGGGAGCAUGAUGCAUUAUGCACUGCGUGGGGUGCAUGGGCGGCUAUGACAGAGAUGAGUCAGCAAUCUUACCAAGCAGAAAACAGAAAAAAAAAUUGAUUAGUCUUUAACGUUAAUCUUGAUCUAGAGCGUAACAUUCUCAUAGACAGACGAUUCUCGGAGAGCUUUCAACUGAAGCAAGAAAAUUGAAUCGCAGGUCACGGCGAGGAGAGACUGUCGUCCGGCAGAAUGGCGUCAGACGUGGGCCGCAGGACUUGAGGUCAGCCGUUCACUCAGCGCACAGUGUUUAUUCUGCCUUCAGGUCCUCCUGGGAAGUUCCUACUUAAGAUUUCGGAAGUCAUAAUUAUGAUGUGAAGUGAAUUUGCUUGAAAUAAUACGGAUGAGUUGAGCAUAUUUAUGUGUGUCUUUAACCCAGCUAAAAAGGGAACGUUCACAGAACUGUUAAUACAAUGUUCAUUAAGAGUUAUCUGGUCUUUUAUAAAUUUCCCAAAAUUUUAGCACAAAAUAUUAUUAUAAAUCUUUCAUGGAAUGUUUAUAAUUUCUGAAAAAUCAAAUGUUUUCUUUUUAAAUGUUUAUUGGUUUUGGAAUGUUCAGAGAAUGUUUUGAUCAUGUUUGCAAAAUUAUCAAAUUAUAAAACACAUUAAAAAGCACAUUUUGAAAGCGUUGGAUGUUUUGAAUGUUCACACAGUGUUAUAACUUAAUGGGAACAUUAUCAAAACAUUCUUUGAACUUUUUUGUUUGCUGGGAACUUGAAAAGCAUUUUUAGUUCUAGUGCAACAAAAUUAAGAGCAAAUGAUGCACAUUAGUUGUGAUUUAAGCUUUAUGUAUUUUAUUAACCUUGUGUAACAGGUCAUAACGAUUGAUUUUUUUUUCUUUUUUCUUUAUCACAAAAUGUUUACAAGUUUUAAGAUUUACAUUAAAUCAACCUU
ensembl:lncRNA